CAGACGAACUGGGUGCGGACCCGGCAGGGUGGAGCUGGGGCCGACCUGAUAGGGGGAAGGGUCGUCGGAACAAAGCACAGAUAGAGGUCUUAGGCAGGGGAGCGGACCGAGUAGGGUGGACUGGCCACUGGAAAAGCGGACCUGAAAGGAAUAUGAUGGUCAAGCGGACCUGAAGGAGAAAGGGCCUAACCGACCACGUGGUAUGAGUAGCAGACUGGAUGGACGUGCGAGGACACCACUACCGAGGGAUUUACUACAAUUGCAGAAUUGGUUUUUUACAAUAUUUAUUCUACGACGAUCCAGCCUCCACAAUCCUCUGAGACCUGUUCGAUCCUAACCUCAGAUGCUGUCUGUACGGAGUUUGUACGUUCUCCCUUUGACCGUGCGGGAUUUCCCCCGGGUGCUCCGGUUUCCUCCCGCAUCCCAGACGUGCAGCCUCUCUGCACCUGCUUCCUACAGGAGAAGAAGUCUCACUUGCUUCACCAACUCCGAG